rnacentral:rRNA from 1 species
AUGGAUAAAGGUAAAUCUGGGAAAGCAAAUUGGGAUCCUGUUGCCCAUAAAAUUUUCCUUGACAUUUGUGUUGAGGAAGUGAAUGCAAAUAACCGUUCUGAUGGACAUUUGAGCCCAAUUGGGUAUGAAAAUAUGAUAAGAAAGUUCAAUGAGCGGACAAACAAAAAUUAUGUACGCAAGCAAUUCAAGAAUAGGUGGGAUUUACUUAAAAAAGAGUACAAUUGUUGGAAGACGUUGAACCAAAAGGCAUCUGGCAUUGGAAUAGAUCCUGUUACUAGGAGCAUUGCGGCUACCGAUGGAUGGUGGGCUGAUACGUCUCCGUCAGGAAUGAGAUUGCCGCCAAGUUUCGAUAUGCUCCAUUAG